rnacentral:rRNA from 1 species
UACGUAGGGGGCAAGCGUUGUCCGGAGUUACUGGGCGUAAAGCGCACGCAGGCGGUCUUUUAAGUUUGGAGUGACAGUUGGUGGCUUAACUGCCAAAGUGCUUCGAAAACUGAAGGACUUGAGGGCUUCAGAGGGACACGGAAUUCCGGGUGGAGUGGUGAAAUGCGUAGAGAUCCGGAGGAACACCAAAGGCGAAGGCAGUGUCCUGGGGAGUACCUGACGCUCAGGUGCGAAAGCCAGGGGAGCGAACGGG